GCGCGCCUCCUCUUCCUUGGCCGGGCCCCCCUCGGCCCCGGCCCCCCUGCCUCCGCACCCCGACCGCACCCCUCUCCCUUCCUAGCCCCCGUCUGCCCAGAAAAGCAUUGCCGGAUAAAAGGCAGGACGCCCAGUUACUGCGUGGGGACAAACUUAGGCUAAAAAUGUAUCCUCUCCUUAUCGGGAAUUCAACUGAACUGGGCAUCCUGCAUUUUUAUAAGCGAAAUCUGGCCACCCCGGCCCAGGUCCUAGCACUUCCCUACAGCCUAGCAUAAGGCAUUCCUGGUGCGCACCCCUUCGAAACUCCCAGAACCCCUUCAGAUGUGGAAAUUUGGAACACCCACCCUUUGCCGGCAUCCAGGUGGCUUCACCUAGGGAACCCCCGAGACUGAGUGGCGACUGUGAGUGUACGUUUGGCUGGGGAAGUGGCCAGGAUUCUUGAGCGCCAACGUUGCACUGGCCCUUCACGCGCCUCCACCAUCCUCACUACGGUCCAGGGACGUAGGAACUGGCCUGCCCCUGUUCUGCUGAUGAAGCCACAGGUGCUCAAAGAGGCGAUGUGACCGGCCUAGAGGGCCAAAACCCAGAGCUGCGCCUGGGAGCACCCCCUCCUCCCCUUUCUCUAGCAUCAGAAGCAGCCCAGAUCCAACAAGAUCAGGGCCAAUGGAGGCAGGACUUCACCCAAGGCAGGGACCAAGAUGGAUUGGUUCUGCAGUGUCCCGGGACUCCGUGGGCUACAGAAGGCUCCACCUUGAGGACAGGCUUGCUGAGUGAACGCCUGCUGGUGACAGCCUCAAGAAGAAAGUACAUUAAGCCACCUUCUUCCCAGGAAAGAGAGAAAAGCGUCAAGUCCGUGGGGUGGUGAGCAGAGCAGUAAGGGGUUGGGGAGUGGAAACUGACAGAUAAGCUAGAUGUCCAGGGGAGAUAUAUUUCCUUCCCCAACUCCCAAUAUCCUCCUUGGGCCUGCAGAGGAGAUGGUGCCUCAGAUGAGGAGGCUGAGUCCCAGGGUACACUCAGACCAGGAAGGCAGGCAUCUCAGCAGUGACAAGAACAGGCUAAAGGACAAGAGCCCUACUCCAAUAUUCUGAGUUUGUGAGAACCCCAGGAUUUUACCACCCAGGGUGCAACAGAAGUGACCACGUGCCAGUUCUGAGUCUGGGCCUCAGGUGGCCUUGGAGCUCCCACUUGUUCUCUUGGAACCUUCGCCAGGCCCCAUGUGAGCAUGACUAGGGUGGCCUGCUGGGAUCAGACACCAUGUGGAGGACACCAUCUCAGAGGCCAUCCUAGACUAGCAGAGCACAAAAUGAGAGCGCAGCCGGACAAGAACCUCCCCCAACCCUGCUGUCUUAUAGAUUCAUGAGCAACAAUAAAUGUCUGUCAUUCAAAGUA